CCUGCAAUCCCAGCACUCUGGGAGGCCAGGGCAGAUGGAUCACUUCAGCUCAGGAGUUCAAGACCAGCCUGAGCAACAUGGCAAAACCCUGUCUGUACAAAAAAAAAAAAAAAAUCCACAAAAAUUAGCCGGGCGUGGUGGUACAUGCCUGUAGUCCAGCUACUCAGGAGGCUGAGGAAGAAGGAUCACUUGAGCCCGGGAGCUUGAGGCUGCAGUGAGCUGAGAUCAUGUCACUCACUGCACAUUAUAGUCUCAGGCUGGGCGUGGUGGCUUACGCCUGUAAUCCCAGCACCAUGGGAGGCUGAGGCGGGCAGAUCUGGGCAGAUCACAAGGUCAGGAGUUCGAGACCAGGCUGGCCAACAUGGUGAAACCCAGUCUCUACCAAAAAUAUACAAAGUUAAUUGGACGUGGUGGUGCAUGCCCGUAAUCCUAGCUACUCGGGAGGCUAAGGCAGGAGAAUUGCUUGAACCCAGGAGGCAGAGGUUGCAGUGAGCAGAGAUCGUGCCAUUGCACUCCAGCCUGGGUGACAGAAUCAGACUCCGUCUCAAAAAAAAAGAAAAGAAAAGAAAAGGUAACAAGGAACUAGAACUAGAAUGUUACAGUAAAGACAUAAAUGAUGUCUAAGUUGGUCUAACUUGUGAAAAGGGGAUAAGGUCAGUUUUCUCUU
rnacentral:lncRNA from 1 species